GCGCCAGUUACAAUUUAAUUUCGACGAUAAUUUCAAUAGCGAUUCACCUCUUUUUAGCGAAAAUCUUGACGUAGGAAAAAUCAAAAUUCUAGCUUCACUGGAAUCUGGAAUGGAGGAAUACUUCAGUGGGUUCAGACGGACCUAUCUGGAGACUGCAGUAACGAACAUUCAUAAAGCAGAAAUUAUUGGAGGUGUUAAGCACAAAUAUCAACUCUCUCCUUCUGGACUCAAAUUAGUGAGUAUAUCCCCCCCCCCUCUACUCUCGUUUGAAUUGUUUUUGGCAAAAGGGAUUCAUAUGGUUUUUAUGGCUGAAGGAACUUACCUCUCUUUUCCGCAGUUUUCCUCAUUUCAGUCAAAAAAGGUAACAGUAGAAAAAGGUAACAGUAGAAAAAAGUAACAGUUUGUAGUUCUGGAGCUUAACCUGGAUCUCAUUCCUAUGACAGAAAAAUCAGACAGACGAUUGUGUUAUCUAACAAGUACUGUUGACACUUCCGAAUAUCGUGUCUUGCUUAAUUUGUGGGUUGGGCUUUUUUUACAGAUAGUUUCACUUUCUAAUGGUAGAUGGCAGGACGAAAUGUUUACUCGCCUUUCAAAAACAAAAACAAAAAGUUCAAAGGCAAAUGUAAAACGAAUGACAAGCGCCAGCAUGAUACCGCCAGUAACAAUUCUAACGUUUUUCAAUGUGAUUCACCUCUAUUGAAUAAAAAAAAUGUAAGAAAAAAUCAAAAGAUCUCAACAGGGCACAUUCUAGCUUUACAUUGAAAUGGAGGAAUAUUUCAGUGGCUCAGACAGUGACAGAGAACACAAGUUGUGUUUACUUGUGAUGAUUUCGUUCUCAUUCUCCUGUCUGAAGACGGCAGUAAUGAAUAUUUAUGCAGCAGUUAAAUGAUUGGAGGUGUUAAGCACAAAUAAUGACUCUCUGGACUCAAAUUCAUGAGUAUACCCACCUUCUACUCUUGUUUGAAGUGAUUGUUGAUUCUUAUUUGGGUGAAAGGGAUUCAUAUGGUUUUUAUAGCUGAAGGAACUUACCUCUCUUUUCAGUAGUUUUCCUCACUACAACAGUUAGUGUAGUUCUGGAGCUUAAUACCUGUGGAUCUCGUUCCUGUGACAGAAAAAUGGUCUUCAUGCUCUACUUGUUCAAAUGGUUUCUGACUGGAAGUAAUCAUUAAAUGAAGCACGAUUUUCGACCACGCGAUGGGAGAAUUUUGCCUCGAAUUUUGCUGCUUUUGCAGAAUUAAAAACUUCUUCAGAAAAUUUUUCCUCGUGUUUGUCGUUAGUUCGUUACUUCACUCAACAGUCUACACAAUGUGGCAAGCAAUCCAUCCAGGACUAAUAAGAAGAUCUGUAAGCCUGACUGGAUGUUGGCUAUUGGAAGUCUAUGGCCCUAGAUUUGACGGAUCAGCUAAUCAUGAAAAUGUUCGAUGCUAGAACGGGAUACUGUGCACCUACAAGUCUUUCCCAGGUUGGUCGCGCACUAUCUCGUCUAUGCUUUGCGAAGAAUCGCACCGUCGCUUUUUCUACUGAGGAAAGUCGACUCUUAUCGACUGUCUAUAAGAGUCGACUUGUUCAUUAGAGUGCGCCUUUUUGAAUGCUAGCUUGUAUUUUUGUACUGAUUAUUGUAUUUAAUCGUUUGAAUGUAGGGUUUGAAUGUAAAACGUUUGUAGAAUAAAUAUAUUUUAAAUUUUCGUGUGUAUUUUUGAUGAACGGUUGAUUUUAAAGGUAAAUUUAAUAAAGGUGAUACUCUCACUUGGUGCUGGUUGCUGGACUA
rnacentral:lncRNA from 1 species